AUUGAACGCUGGCGGCAGGCUUAACACAUGCAAGUCGAGCGGGGGAGGGUAGCUUGCUACCUAACCUAGCGGCGGACGGGUGAGUAAUGCUUAGGAAUCUGCCAUUUAGUGGGGGACAACAUUCCGAAAGGAAUGCUAAUACCGCAUACGUCCUACGGGAGAAAGCAGGGGAUCUUCGGACCUUGCGCUAAAUGAUGAGCCUAAGUCGGAUUAGCUAGUUGGUGGGGUAAAGGCCUACCAAGGCGACGAUCUGUAGCGGGUCUGAGAGGAUGAUCCGCCACGCUGGGACUGGAACACGGCCCAGACUCCUACGGGAGGCAGCAGUGGGGAAUAUUGGACAAUGGGCGGAAGCCUGAUCCAGCCAUGCCGCGUGUGUGAAGAAGGCCUUAUGGUUGUAAAGCACUUUAAGCGAGGAGGAGGCUACCUAGAUUAAUACUCUAGGAUAGUGGACGUUACUCGCAGAAUAAGCACCGGCUAACUCUGUGCCAGCAGCCGCCGUAACAC
rnacentral:rRNA from 1 species